rnacentral:rRNA from 1 species
AUUGAACGCUGGCGGCAGGCCUAACACAUGCAAGUCGAGCGAGUGGCGGACGGGUGAGUAAUGCUUGGGAAUCUAGCAUAUGGAGGGGGAUAACUACGGGAAACUGUAGCUAAUACCGCGUACCAUAGGAUGAGCCCAAGUGGGAUUAGGUAGUUGGUGAGGAAAAGGCUCACCUAGGCUACGAUCUCUAGCUGGUCUGAGAGGAUGAACAGCCACACUGGGACUGAGACACGGCCCAGACUCCUACGUGAGGCAGCAGGGGGGAAUAUUGCACAAUGGGCGCAAGCCUGAUACAGCCAUGCCGCGUGUAUGAAGAAGGCCUUAGGGUUGUAAAGUACUUUCAGCGGGGAGGCGUUACCCGCAGAAGAAGCACCGGCUAACUCCGUGCCAGCAGCCGCGGUAAUAC